rnacentral:rRNA from 1 species
ACGGAAGGCAGCAGUGGGGAAUAUUGCACAAUGGGGGAAACCCUGAUGCAGCGACGCCGCGUGAAGGAAGAAGUAUCUCGGUAUGUAAACUUCUAUCAGCAGGGAAGAUAAUGACGGUGCCUGACUAAGAAGCCCCGGCUAACUACGUGCCAGCAGCCGCGGUAGUACGUAGGGGGCAAGCGUUAUCCGGAUUUACUGGGUGUAAAGGGAGCGUAGACGGAAUGGCAAGUCUGGUGUGAAAGGCAUGGGCUCAACCUGUGGACUGCACUGGAAACUGUCGUUCUUGGGUGCCGGAGGGGUAAGCGGAAUUCCUAGUGUAGCGGUGAAAUGCGUAGAUAUUAGGAGGAACACCAGUGGCGAAGGCGGUCUACUGGACGAUAACUGACGCUGAGGCGCGAAAGCGUGGGGAGCAAACAGGAUUAGAUACCCUGGUA